UACGAGCGGUGCAAGCGUUAUUCGGAAUUAUUGGGCGUAAAGGGCGCGCAGGCGGGUCAUUAAGUUUGUUGUUAAAUCCUCUGGCUUAACCAGAGACAAGCAAUAAAAACUGGUAACCUAGAGCGUGAGAGAGAGAAGUGGAAUUCCCGGAGUAGCGGUAAAAUGCGUAGAUCUCGGGAGGAACACCAAUGGCGAAGGCUGCUUCUUGGCUCAUUGCUGACGCUGAGGCGCGAAAGCGUGGGGAGCAAACAGG
rnacentral:rRNA from 1 species